rnacentral:rRNA from 1 species
GACGAACGCUGGCGGCGUGCCUAAUACAUGCAAGUAGGACGCAGUUGCGAACGGGUGAGUAACGCGUAGGUAACUGCCUAUUAGAGGGGGAUAACUAUUGGAAACGAUAGCUAAUACCGCAUACUAGUAGAUGGACCUGCGUUGUAUUAGCUAGUAGGUAGGGUAAUGGCCUACCUAGGCAACGAUACAUAGCCGACCGUAGAGGGUGAUCGGCCAACCGGGUACGGAGAGACGGCCCAGACGCUUACGGUAGGCAGCAGUAGUGAAUCUUCGGCAAUGGGGGGAACUCUGACCGAGCAACUCCGCGUGAGUGAAGAAGGUUUUCGGAUCGUAAAGGUCUGUUGUUAAGGAAGCGGUACUUAACCAGAAAGGGACGGCUAACUACGUGCCAGCAGCCGCGGUAAUUC